UACAGUUCUCAGAAUUUUCCCCAUUAUUAAGAUGGGUCCCAUGACUAUACUGAACACCUAGAUGGGUUUACAAAUCAUGUAAUUUUCUCUGUAGAGACAGCUGACUUGAACGACAGCCUGAUGGUCCUGAGCCCUGGUUCCUGUGCUCAGGAAAUGGCAUAGCAUCCUUGUCUCUGGAAGAUCCCAGGCCAUGCAGAUGAAGAAAGGCUCAAGGUGGACUGUGGACAUGUGGGAUGUCAUCAUAUGGGACAGAGCCAUGUGAAGAGGUCAUACAAUUGGCAAAGCCUAAUUGAUCAUGGAGAGGAAACACACAAGGACAACAGAGAAGACAUUGACAAAGCAGAGACUCGACCUCCUUUCAUCUUUAUCCUGGAAAAAAAAAAGAAGUGCCACAUGAGGCUUUUUGGAGCUGAUAAACCAAAGGAGAAGUUUAAUUAAAAUUUUAGACCUGGA